AGUGAACGCUGGCGGUAGGCCUAACACAUGCAAGUCGAACGGCAGCACAGUAAGAGCUUGCUCUUACGGGUGGCGAGUGGCGGACGGGUGAGGAAUACAUCGGAAUCUACUUUUUCGUGGGGGAUAACGUAGGGAAACUUACGCUAAUACCGCAUACGACCUACGGGUGAAAGCAGGGGAUCUUCGGACCUUGCGCGAUUGAAUGAGCCGAUGUCGGAUUAGCUAGUUGGCGGGGUAAAGGCCCACCAAGGCGACGAUCCGUAGCUGGUCUGAGAGGAUGAGCAGCGACACUGGGAAUGAGACCCGGCCCAGAUUGCUACGGGAGGGCGCGGUGGGGAAUAGUGGAAACUGGGCGAAAGCCUGAUACCGCAACGCCGCGUGAGUGAUGAAGGCCUUAGGGUUGAAAAGCUCUUUUACCCGGGAUGAGAAUGACAGUAGCGGGAGAAUAAGCUCCGGCUAACUCCGUG
rnacentral:rRNA from 1 species